AUUGAACGCUGGCGGCAGGCCUAACACAUGCAAGUCGAACGAGUGGCGGACGGGUGAGUAAUGUCUGGGAAACUGCCCGAUGGAGGGGGAUAACUACUGGAAACGGUAGCUAAUACCGCAUACCAUCGGAUGUGCCCAGAUGGGAUUAGCUUGUAGGUGAGGGAACGGCUCACCUAGGCGACGAUCACUAGCUGGUAUGAGAGGAUGACCAGCACAACUGGAACUGAGACACGGUCCAGACUACUACGGGAUGCAGCAGUGUGGAAUAUUGCACAAUGGGCGAAAGCCUGAUGCAGUCAUGCCGCGGGGAUGAAGAAGGCCUUCGGGUUGUAAACUACGGUCAGCGGGGAGGCGUUACCCGCAGAAGAAGCCCCGGCUAACUCCGUGCCAGCAGCCGCUGUAAUGC
rnacentral:rRNA from 1 species